GACGAACGCUGGCGGCGUGCUUAACACAUGCAAGUCGAACGGAAAGGCCCUGCUUUUGUGGGGUGCUCGAGUGGCGAACGGGUGAGUAACACGUGAGUAACCUGCCCUUGACUUUGGGAUAACUUCAGGAAACUGGGGCUAAUACCGGAUAGGAGCUCCUGCUGCAUGGUGGGGGUUGGAAAGUUUCGGCGGUUGGGGAUGGACUCGCGGCUUAUCAGCUUGUUGGUGGGGUAGUGGCUUACCAAGGGUUUGACGGGUAGCCGGCCUGAGAGGGUGACCGGCGACAAUGGGACUACGAUACGGAGCAGAAUCCUACGGGAGGCAGCAGUGGGGAAUAUUGCACAAUGGGGGGGAGCCUGAUGCAGCAAAGCCGCGUGCGGGAUGACGGCCUUCGGGUUGUAAACCGCUUUCGAAUGUGACGAAGCGUGAGUGACGGUAAUGGGUAAAGAAGCACCGGCUAACUACGUG
rnacentral:rRNA from 1 species